rnacentral:rRNA from 1 species
GACGAACGCUGGCGGCGUGCUUAACACAUGCAAGUCGAACGGUAAGGCCCUUCGGGGUACACGAGUGGCGAACGGGUGAGUAACACGUGGGUGAUCUGCCCUGCACUUCGGGAUAAGCCUGGGAAACUGGGUCUAAUACCGGAUAGGACCACUGCCUGCAUGGGUGGUGGUGGAAAGCUUUUGCGGUGUGGGAUGGGCCCGCGGCCUAUCAGCUUGUUGGGGGGGUGAUGGCCUACCAAGGCGACGACGGGUAGCCGGCCUGAGAGGGUGACCGGCCACACUGGGACUGAGAUACGGCCCAGACUCCUACGGGAGGCAGCAGUGGGAAAUAUCGCACAAUGGGCGCAAGCCUGAUGCAGCGACGCCGCGUGAGGGAUGGCGGCCUUCGGGUUGUAAACCUCUUUCAGCACCGACGAAGCGCAAGUGACGGUAGGUGCAGAAGAAGGACCGGCCAACUACGUGCCAGCCGCCGCAGUAA